rnacentral:rRNA from 1 species
UACGGAGGGUGCUAGCGUUGUUCGGAAUGACUGGGCGUAAAGGGCGCGUAGGCGGCUCGUGAAGUCGGGUGUGAAAGCCCGGGCUCAACCCCGGAACGGCAUCCGAUACUGGCGGGCUUGAGACCGGGAGAGGAGGGUGGAAUACCCAGUGUAGAGGUGAAAUUCGUAGAUAUUGGGUGGAACACCGGUGGCGAAAGCGGCUCUCUGGCCCGGAUCUGACGCUGAGGCGCGGAAAGCGUGG